rnacentral:rRNA from 1 species
AGUGAACGCUGGCAGCGUUCUUAACACAUGCAAGUCGAACGAGAACGGAAUAUAGCUUGCUAUAUUUGUCAGCUAAGUGGCGCACGGGUGAGUAAUGUAUAGAUAACCUGCCCUUAAGAAAGGAAUAACAGUUGGAAACGACUGCUAAUGCCCUAUAUGCCUUUAAUACAUAAGUAUGCACGGGAAACGCUUUAGUGCUUAAGGAUGGGUCUGUAUGGUAUCAGCUUGUUGGUGAGGUAAUGGCUCACCAAGGCUAUGACGCCUAACUGGUUUGAGAGGAUGAUCAGUCACACUGGAACUGAGACACGGUCCAGACUCCUACGGGAGGCAGCAGUGGGGAAUAUUGCACAAUGGACGAAAGUCUGAUGCAGCAACGCCGCGUGGAGGAUGACACAUUUCGGUGCGUAAACUCCUUUUAUAUAGGAAGAUAAUGACGGUACUAUAUGAAUAAGCACCGGCUAACUCCGUGCCAGCAGCCGCGGUAA